rnacentral:rRNA from 1 species
ACGAACGCUGGCGGCGCGCCUAACACAUGCAAGUCGAACGCGCGAGAGAGAGCUUGCUUUCUUGAGCGAGUGGCGAACGGGUGAGUAACGCGUGAGGAACCUGCCUCAAAGAGGGGGACAACAGUUGGAAACGACUGCUAAUACCGCAUAAGCCCACGACCCGGCAUCGGGUUGAGGGAAAAGGAGCAAUCCGCUUUGAGAUGGCCUCGCGUCCGAUUAGCUAGUUGGUGAGGUAACGGCCCACCAAGGCGACGAUCGGUAGCCGGACUGAGAGGUUGAACGGCCACAUUGGGACUGAGACACGGCCCAGACUCCUACGGGAGGCAGCAGUGGGGAAUAUUGCACAAUGGGGGAAACCCUGAUGCAGCGACGCCGCGUGGAGGAAGAAGGUCUUCGGAUUGUAAACUCCUGUUGUGGAGGAAGAUAAUGACGGUACUCAACAAGGAAGUGACGGCUAACUACGUG